GGUGCGGUAGCUCAACUGGAUAGAGCAGGCGCUUGCGUUCUGUUUUCCAAUUUCCGCAAUACUGCGGACAAGGUUGGCAUACUAUUAUCAUCAGGUUGCAGGUUCGAAUCCUGCCCGCACCU
rnacentral:tRNA from 1 species